UGUUAUGGUGGCUGUGCGUGGAAGGCCUCACGGCCUGCCGGGUUGUUCCUAUGUUCCGGUUCGUCAAUCCACGCACAGCUACCGCCCUG
rnacentral:antisense_RNA from 1 species